rnacentral:rRNA from 1 species
CGUAGGGGGCUAGCGUUGUCCGGAUUUAUUGGGCGUAAAGAGCGUGUAGGCGGCCAGGUAGGUCCGGUGUGAAAACUCGAGGCUUAACCUCGAGAUGUCAUCGGAAACCAUCUGGCUAGAGUCCGGAAGAGGAAAGUGGAAUUCCUGGUGUAGCGGUGAAAUGCGCAGAUAUCAGGAAGAACACCAAUGGCGAAAGCAGCUUUCUGGGACGGUACUGACGCUGAGACGCGAAAGCGUGGGGAGCGAACAGGAUUAGAUACCCUGGUAGUCCACGCCGUAAACGAUGGGCGCUAGGUGUGGGCGGUGUCGACUCCGUCCGUGCCGAAGCUAACGCAUUAAGCGCCCCGCCUGGGGAGUACGGCUGCAAGGCUA